rnacentral:rRNA from 1 species
GAUGAACGCUGGCGGCGUGCCUAAUACAUGCAAGUCGAGCGAACGGACGAGAAGCUUGCUUCUCUGAUGUUAGCGGCGGACGGGUGAGUAACACGUGGAUAACCUACCUAUAAGACUGGGAUAACUUCGGGAAACCGGAGCUAAUACCGGAUAAUAUUUUGAACCGCAUGGUUCAAAAGUGAAAGACGGUCUUGCCGUCACUUAUAGAUGGAUCCGCGCUGCAUUAGCUAGUUGGUAAGGUAACGGCUUACCAAGGCAACGAUGCAUAGCCGACCUGAGAGGGUGAUCGGCCACACUGGAACUGAGACGCGGUCCAGACUCCUACGGGAGGCAGCAGUAGGGAAUCUUCCGCAAUGGGCGAAAGCCUGACGGAGCAACGCCGCGUGAGUGAUGAAGGUCUUCGGAUCGUAAAACUCUGUUAUUAGGGAAGAACAUAUGUGUAAGUAACUGUGCACAUCUUGACGGUACCUAAUCAGAAAGCCACGGCUAACUACGU